rnacentral:rRNA from 1 species
AGGGUUUGAUCAUGGCUCAGAACGUACGCUGGCGGCACGCCUAAUACAUGCAAGUCGAACGAAGUAGCAAUACUUAGUGGCAAACGGGUGAGUAUAAUGUAGGUAUCUGCCUUUUGGUUUGGAAUAACACGAGGAAACUUGUGCUAAUACCGGAUAAGCCUUUACAGGGAAAGUUUUAACGCCGAAAGAUGAGCCUGCACUUGAUUAGCUAGUUGGUAGGGUAAUGGCCUACCAAGGCAACGAUCAAUAGCUGACCUGAGAGGAUGAUCAGCCACAUUGGGACUGGGACACGGCCCAGACUCCUACGGGAGGCAGCAGUAGGGAAUCUUGCACAAUGGGGGAAACCCUGAUGCAGCGAUGCCGCGUGAGUGAAGAAGGCCUUUGGGUUGUAAAGCUCUUUCGUCGGGGAAGAAAAUGACUGUACCCGAAUAAGAAGGUCCGGCUAACUUCGUGCCAGCCGCCGCGGUAAUAC